CCCUAUUUCUCAAAAAAAAAAAAAAAAAAAAAAAAUCUCUCGCACCCACAAACCCAAAUUCCAGAAAAUGGAAAAGGGAAAGAAAGAAGCCUUAUCAGUCUUAUCAAUGGCAGCCAACCCUAACCUAUGCCAAAUGAUGCCUAACCUUAAGCUGGUUCUGAACGCUAACUUCCCAUCCGAUGUGGUUUCUGACAUUCUGUACCAACUUCCUGUGAAAACUCUCGUACGGUUCAGAUGCGUAUCCAAACGUUGGUGUUCCCAAAUAGACGGUCCAGAUUUCAUCAAGCUACAGCUUAACCACUCCCUAGCCACCCAAACAAAUCUCAACGUUAUUCUCAAGAAAUGGUAUUUGUACAUGGUGGAGUUCGAAUCGCUUCAAACCGCCAUAGAACUCAGCGCUCCAUUGAAAGUGAUCUGGGGUAUAACCGAAGUUUUUGGGUCAUGUAAUGGCUUGGUUGCUGUUUGUAAUUCUGAGAACGAAAUGGCUUUGUGGAAUCCAUCAACUAAGAAGUCACAGAGAUUGCCUUUUGAGCCGGUUGAGCACCCAGGUGGCGUUGAGCUUCGUCGUUUUGCGUUUUAUGGAUUUGGGCGCGACCCCAUUAGCGAGGAUUACAAGGUGGUGAGGAUGGUGCAAUUUGUUGCUCAAGAUGAUGAGGGAGAUCUUGUUGGUGAUGAUGAAGAUGGGUUUUUUUAUGCGGAGGUUAAAGUUUAUAGCUUGAAGAGUAAUUCAUGGAGGAAAAUCAACGACCUUCCUUAUUAUGUUCGUUUUCUAUUUCAACUUAAUUAUCUGCUUUUUUAUAGAAGAGGGUAUGGUGUAUAUGCUUGUGGUGCUGUGCAUUGGGUGGCAUCUGUAGGAUUUGGACUGUAUAUGAUUGUUGCUUUUGAUCUUGGGGUUGAUAAGUUUCAAAAUGUACCACUACCUGGUAAGGUUGAUAAUGGUUUUGAAAUGGAUGUGGGGGUCUUGGAAGGAAGGCUCUGCGUGAUAUUGAAUUACAGGCAUGUCUAUGUUGAUAUAUGGGUAAUGAAAGAGUAUGGGGUGAAGGAAUCUUGGACCAAAUUAUUCAAAGUUUCUGCAGAUUCCAGUUUGAAAAGGCCUCUUGGACACAUUGUGCCUCUAGCUUAUUCUAAGAGUGGUGAUAAGGUCCUUUUGGCAGUGGAGAAGAGGAAGCUGUUUUGGUAUAAUAUUAGAAAGAGGAGAGCCGAGAAAGUGAGGAUUGAAGGGGCUCCAAAAUCAUUUGGUGCGGAUUUUUAUGUGGAAAGUCUUGUUCCUGUAGGUCGUGAUGGAAUGGAUCAGAGGAGGAGGCAGCAACCACAAGGGGAAAUGAAGAAAAGCUACAGAAAGAGAACGGAUGAUUUCUUGUCAAAAGGCUUUAAACUGACUUUAUAAACAAAGGAUACAAAUAGGUGCAAAGUGAAGAGUGACAAGUCACGAGCUGGUGUGAAACAGUCUCAAGGAGGCAAGUGAGUGGUGUUCUACUUUACAUUUUAAUUUAUGUUGCUGAACAGUUACCAUAGUUAUGCACCCUCUCAGUCUACUUCCCUUGGAAGUUGGGGGAUAGCUACAGAUAAGACAAAAGGAGUUGUCAUCUUGGGACCUGGUACGGCUUAUGUUUUCAUAGAAAUCAAGACUCUUCUCUUGCUUAAAGGAUGAACCUUAUGUUCCUCAAAAAGAACAAAAAAAGGAUGAACUUUUAUGGUUUUUUGCCCCCAGGAUUUUGUUACUAUAAAGUGGAUUUAUAUUUUACUUCUUUUUGAGAGAUCCAGUUAGCUCAUGGUAAAAUAUAUUUUACCUAAAUAAGAGAUCUGGGUAAAAAUCUCGUUUAUAUCGAAAAUCGAUCAAUGACUUUGCUCGAGGAUAAAAAGCAAUAGAACAGACUUGAUCCUAUUGUUUUACAUGUUCUAGUUUCUGAAUUUAUUUGGCUGCUUUGAUUAUGCCCAAGGGAUGCAACAGACGAAGUUUCCUAGUAUUAGACCUCUCACAUGCCCUUGUACAGAGAAAGAGGGGAGGAAUCUAACAGGAUACAACAAUAUAAUGCUCGCAAGUUUAGAAGAAAAAAGCUGCAGAUUUACCUAUUAUCCUGUCAAAAGAAAAUUUGGAAGGAAAUAGAUACCAUCAAUUUGCUAAAUAUUCACCAGCUAGCAAGCACUUGGCAUUUUCUCCUUCAUCCCUGGUUCCCAUGAAGCCUCUUUAAUGUAACUAGCUCAAGACCCUUUUGGGAGAUCAAAAGAAGACUGAUAAGAAUAUAUGGGGGACUUGGGGUGGAAGGAAGAAAGGAUGGAUCACCUGCCAUUGCCAAUCAAAAGUGGUGAACCAUUUCACUGUGAAAAUUGUAAGCUCUCCUCUUUCUAAACAAGCAUGUUAUGUAAAGAGUAGACACUUAGAUCCAUGACAGCUCGACUGGUAUGAGAACUUUGCUAGACCACAUGUUAUCAGCAGGACAGAAUAAUUUCGAUUUGGCUUGACUAGUUGACUUACGUAGAGAGUCCUAGCGAUUUGUUUUUUUUAAACACUGAAAAAGGUCCUACAAAUAGAAUAUUCUUUCUUUUUUCUCCGAUGCUAUUUCUGUAUUCUACGUGACCGAUGGUUGUGCAUCACUUCUGAAGAAUUAGAUCACUCACACAGUGGUUGAUUAAUAGAAAAAUAUGUAAAAUUUAUACAA